UUUUUUUCGAAUCAUUUAUUGCAACAUAUCUGCAUCUUUUUGAAAGACUCUUUGUAUCAAAAUGUGCAACGAAGUUGUUACCGUCAUCUGCUCACUGUUUGGAUGGAUUCUAUCAGCGUUUGCUGCAUUUAGCUGCUUCUUCAUUGAGGGCAAAUUUCUUGAUGGCCAAUUUGGCA
rnacentral:ribozyme from 1 species